GAUGAACGCUGGCGGCGUGCCUAAUACAUGCAAGUCGAGCGAACAGACGAGGAGCUUGCUCCUCUGACGUUAGCGGCGGACGGGUGAGUAACACGUGGAUAACCUACCUAUAAGACUGGGAUAACUUCGGGAAACCGGAGCUAAUACCGGAUAAUAUAUUGAACCGCAUGGUUCAAUAGUGAAAGACGGUUUUGCUGUCACUUAUAGAUGGAUCCGCGCCGCAUUAGCUAGUUGGUAAGGUAACGGCUUACCAAGACAACGAUGCGUAGCCGACCUGAGAGGGUGAUCGGCCACACUGGAACUGAGACACGGUCAAGACUCCUACGGGAGGCAGCAGUAGGGAAUCUUCCGCAAUGGGCGAAAGCUUGACGGAGCAACGCCGCGUGAGUGAUGAAGGUCUUCGGAUCGUAAAACUCUGUUAUUAGGGAAGAACAAAUGUGUAAGUAACUAUGCACGUCUUGACGGUACCUAAUCAGAAAGCCACGGCUAACUACGUG
rnacentral:rRNA from 1 species